AAUGAACGCUGGCGGCAGGCCUAAAACAUGCAAGUCGAACGCUGUAGCAAUACAGAGUGGCGCACGGGUGAGUAACAUGUGGGAAUAUGCCUUUUGGUACGGAACAACUUUUGGAAACGAAAGCUAAUACCGUAUGGUCCCUUCGGGGUAAAGAUUUAUCGCCAAAAGAUUAGCCCGCACUAGAUUAGCUAGUUGGUGAGGUAACGGCUCACCAAGGCGACGAUCUAUAGCUGUUCUGAGAGGAAGAUCAGCCACACUGGGACUGAGACACGGCCCAGACUCCUACGGGAGGCAGCAGUUAGGAAUAUUGGACAAUGGGCGCAAGCCUGAUCCAGCCAUGCCGCGUGAACGAUGAAGGCCUUCGGGUUGUAAAGUUCUUUAGCCGAUGAUUAUAAUGACUGUAGUCGGAAAAUAAGCCCCGGCUAACUUCGUGCCAGCAGCCGCCGUAA
rnacentral:rRNA from 1 species